GGUGCUAUAGUUCAGUUGGUUAGAAUAUCCGCCUGUCACGCGGAAGAUCGUGGAUUCGAGCUCCACUAGCACCG
rnacentral:tRNA from 1 species